rnacentral:rRNA from 1 species
AUUGAACGCUGGCGGCAGGCCUAACACAUGCAAGUCGAGCGGAGCUGCGGACGGGCGAGUAAUGCCUACGUAUCUGCCUUGUCUUUGGGGAUAAGGUCCGGUAACGGGCGCUAAUACCGCAUCGUAUCUGAUGAGCCUUGUUCGGAUUAGCUAGUUGGUGGGGUAAAGGCCUACCAAGGCGACGAUCCGUAACUGGUCUGAGAGGAUGAUCAGUCACACUGGAACUGAGACACGGUCCAGACUCCUACGGGAGGCAGCAGUGGGGAAUAUUGGACAAUGGGCGAAAGCCUGAUCCAGCCAUGCCGCGUGUGUGAAGAAGGUCUUCGGAUUGUAAAGCACUUUAAGUUGGGAAGCGUUACCAACAGAGUAAGCACCGGCUAACUUCGUGCCAGCAGCCGCGGUAAUUC